UUCAGUACGACAUUGCUCACAUUGCUUCCAGUAUUUUUUGCCCGCUCUCUGUAGCGGGCUUUUUUU
rfam:Enterobacter cloacae S611 EDP2.NODE_1810, whole genome shotgun sequence.